GAUGAACGCUGGCGGCGUGCCUAAUACAUGCAAGUCGAACGAACGGACGAGAAGCUUGCUUCUCUGAUGUUAGCGGCGGACGGGUGAGUCACACGUGUAUCACCUACCUAUAAGACUGGGAUAACUUCGGGAAACCGGAGCUAAUACCGGAUAAUCUUUUGAACCGCAUGGUUCAAAAGUGAAAGUCGGUCUUGCGGUCACUUAUAGAUGGAUCCGCGCUGCAUUAGCUAGUUGGUAAGGUAACGGCUUACCAAGGCAACGAUGCAUAGCCGACCUGAGAGAGUGAUCGGCCACACUGGAACUGGGACACGGUCCAGACUCCUACGGGAGGCAGCAGUAGGGAAUCUUCCGCAAUGGGCGAAAGCCUGACGGAGCAAGGCCGCGUGAGUGAUGAAGGUCUUCGGAUCGUAAAACUCUGUUAUUAGGGAAGAACAGAUGUGUAAGUAACUGUGCACAUCUUGACGGUACCUAAUCAGAAAGCCACGGCUAACUACGUG
rnacentral:rRNA from 1 species